AUUUUUUAACGUAUUCUAGUUUGAAGGAAUGAAUCGAAUUGCUUUAUAGACUGGAUUACGGUCGGAUCGAACUGGUUCGACCCGAUUUUAUUAGUAAAAAUUCCGACUAAAGUGUAAUGCAUUGUCAAAUGCCGGCUUUAAAGGGUGUUAGAGGAUCAAAAAUUUUGCAAGUACUUUAAGCCUCCGUUUGGUUCGGGGUUAAGGAAAAAGUAGCUAUACCAGGGAUAUGGUUAAGUUCAGGGUUAAAGUGGGAUUAAAAUUUUUUUGUGUUUGGUUGGAGGUUGGAGUUAGUCUAGAAUAGUAAAAAAAAGUGUUUGGUUGGAGUAGGUGGGAUAAAAAGAUAAUGAUUGAUAAAGAAGAAAAAGGUGAGGGCUCGGGAUGCGUGCGGGGUUAAAGUUGGGAGAGGGAGUGGGGUUAAUGAUUGAUAAAAAAGAAAAAGGUGAGGACUUGGGAUGCGUGCGGAGUUAAAGUUGGGAGGGGGAGUGAGGUUAGUAAACCCCACUAACCCGGUUUGGGGUGGGGUUUACUAACCCCACACCUUAAGAGUGGUGUUUGGGUAUAAAUUGGGGGUUAAGGGGUUAUUCCACCCCUUAACCCCCUAACCAAAC
rnacentral:lncRNA from 1 species